AGUAAAUUAUACUGGAGAAUUUAUAUAUAAUACCACGAGGGAAAAUACCAACAAUCGACCACCGAAAGCUAUGUUGGUUUACCAAGCAGGAGAAACGACCCCCCAAGAAAUGAUGACGCUCAAGUACACGGAUCCAGAUACUCACCUCUGCAGUGUGUUUGCUCUUUCCUCCGUUGGACAAGAGCUAACUGAUGAUUUUCAGAACUGCGAAAUGCACAUAAGAGACAGUGGCGUUGAAAGUGGGCCAACACCAAGUUGCCAUAAUUACUUCAAGGAAAAAUGUUCUGGCACUGAAUAUCGCCCGUACAGCUCUCACUGCAAGAAUAAAGGUAACGAGGAUAUCCCCACUCAGUAAAAAAGUGCAGUGAAUAAAUGACCACCGAAAGAAGACCGAUCAUGGACUGUUGUAAGCUUCAGUCCCCGAAAUUGUCAUCCCUAAUUGUAUGCUUGUAUCUCAUGUUUAAAUAACCAGAUAGAAAAAGGCGAAAGUAUUGAAAAUUAGUUAAUAAAGUGAAAGCGAACAUAUGCAGUGCAAGAAUAAAUGUUCU